GAUCGGGGAUUGAAAUGAGUAUGGGCUUUCCAUUUCGGGCUUUGGUUUCAGCAGAAUAAAGGGCAAGAAGAACAGCUUCAAAACCAGAAAGAGAAGUAGUACAAGUAGAGGAAUGGAUUCGUGAGAGAUAGAUUGAAGCUAAAAGGGGAAUAAAGGAGAGGACUACGAGGCGGAGAUCAGUAUCAGAAGAAAGGAAAGUGUCGUAAAGCCAGUGACAAAGAGGGUCGUCACCGGAGCCGGAGGAAGGGGAAGAGAGGGAGGAAGAAAUGGAGAAGUAAGCCGCCGGAGAGAGGAGGAGGGAUCGUGCAGGGCGGUCGGAGUCGGCUAGGGAGGAGAGAGAAUCGGCGGCGGAGGAGUCGGAAGGGAGGAGGAGGGAGGAGAGGAGGUGAAUGCGAGAACGAGCUUUGGAGAUGGAUUCCCACCAAGAAUGCAUGGGGUUCGGAUCAUUGUUGUUGUUGAUCGGAGUGCCGCCGUUUUGGUGGUGGUGGUGGUUGGAAGUGGAGGGGGUUUGAACGGUAGAGGAAGUGGAGGAAGAAGGGGAGUCGCCUGAGAUUUGAGAAUUUAGUGAGAGAUAGAUUGAGGCUAAAAGGGGAAUAAAGGAGAGGACUACGAGGCGGAGAUCAGUAUCAGAAGAAAGGAAAGUGUCGUAAAGCCAGUGACAAAGAGGGUCGUCACCGGAGCCGGAGGAAGGGGAAGAGAGGGAGGAAGAAAUGGAGAAGUAAGCCGCCGGAGAGAGGAGGAGGGAUCGUGCAGGGCGGUCGGAGUCGGCUAGGGAGGAGAGAGAAUCGGCGGCGGUGGAGUCAGAAGGGAGGAGAAGGGAAGAGAGGAGGUGAAUGCGAGAACGAGCUUUGGAGAUGGAUUCCCACCAAGCAUGCAUGGGGUUCGGAUCAUUGUUGUUGUUUAUCGGAGUGCCGCCGUUUUGGUGGUGGUGGUGGUGAUGGUUGUUGGAAGUGGAGGGGGUUUGAACGGUGGAGGAAGUGGAGGAAGAAGGGGAGUCGCCUGAGAUUUGGGAAUUUAGGGUGAUAUCCAUAGGGAUUAGGAGGGUGGGUAGAUCGGAGUUUUGGUGGAGUCUCCGAUGAGGACGGACAAAGGAAGUCGUACAAAGUGGACUGCCUUCCUCACUUCUUUUGGUUCCUUUUUUCCUACUACUAUAUUACUCCUAUUGUUUUAGCCAAAUUUCAGUAUUUAACUUGCUACCAAUUUAAGGCUGUAGUCGGUUUCGGUUCUGGAUUUAUUUG
rnacentral:lncRNA from 1 species